rnacentral:tRNA from 2 species
AAAAAGUUAGUUAAACUAUAAUGUAAGAUUGUCAGUCUUACGUUACUAAUUCAAUUUAGUACUUUUUA